ACGGGAAGUGCCUUACGGGGCACGGAGAGUGGCGAACGGGUGAGUAACGCGUAACUGAUCUGCCCCUUAGACUAGGAUAACCUGUGGAAACAGAGGCUAAUACUGGAUAAGCUCAGCGGAGUUAGAGAGGGCUGAGGAAAGGUGAUAUAAGCGCUAAGGGAUGAGGUUGCGAGCCAUCAGCUAGUUGGUGAGGUAAAGGCUCACCAAGGCGGAGACGGCUAGGGGAUCUGAGAGGGUGGCCCCCCACACUGGGACUGAGACACGGCCCAGACUCCUACGGGAGGCAGCAGUAAGGGAUAUUGCACAAUGGACGGAAGUCUGAUGCAGCGACGUCGCGUGGGCGAAGAAGGUUUUCGGAUCGUAAAGCCCUUUUCUAUGUGGCGAGGAAGGACGGUAGCAUAGGAAUAAGUGUCGGCUAACUACGUGCCAGCAGCCGCGGUAAGACGUAGGACGCGAGCGUUAUCCGGAGUUACUGGGCGUAAAGAGCGCGCAGGCGGGAGGACAAGUUGCUUAUGAAAGGUACUGGCUAAACUGGUAUAAGCUAGGCAAAACUGUCUUUCUAGAGGGGAAGAGAGGGAAGCGGAAUUCCGGGUGUAGUGGUGAAAUGCGUAAAUAUCCGGAGGAAUAUCGGAGG
rnacentral:rRNA from 1 species